rnacentral:siRNA from 1 species
ACUUUCUUUUCAGGCUUGACU